UACGUAGGGUGCGAGCGUUGUCCGGAAUUAUUGGGCGUAAAGGGCUCGUAGGCGGUUUGUCGCGUCGGGAGUGAAAACCUCGGGCUUAACUCGGGGCUUGCUUUCGAUACGGGCAGACUGGAGGUAUGCAGGGGAGACUGGAAUUCCUGGUGUAGCGGUGAAAUGCGCAGAUAUCAGGAGGAACACCGGUGGCGAAGGCGGGUCUCUGGGCAAUAACUGACGCUGAGGAGCGAAAGCGUGGGGAGCGAACAGG
rnacentral:rRNA from 1 species